UGUCCAGGGAUGGGAAUCGAACCCACAAUGUUCCGCUUACCGGGAUGCCAUGUCCACUAGGCUACCCUGGGC
rnacentral:tRNA from 1 species